rfam:Cucumis melo, WGS project CAJI01000000 data, contig: 02536
ACGACCUUACUUGAACAGGAUUUGUUAUAUAGGUUGUACAUCUGUGUCCUUGAGUUCUAAGGAGACAAGAACCUAAGUCUAGUGGACGAGUCUCUAUCUUGUGACUAGAGUGUGAUUAACGAUUCAAUGGACCCCAUGGUCUGGUGGCUAUAGAGGAUCGUUCUCGGUAGGUUUGUCCUGUUGGGAUGGUCGCACGGUGGUCUGACAGACU